GACGAACGCUGGCGGCGUGCUUAACACAUGCAAGUCGAACGGAAAUGCCCUGCUUUUGUGGGGUGCUCGAGUGGCGAACGGGUGAGUAACACGUGAGUAACCUGCCCUUGACUUUUGGAUAACUUCAGGAAACUGGGGCUCAUACCGGAUAGUAGCUCCUGCUGCAUGGUUGGGGUUGGCUAGUUUCGGCGGUUGGGGAUGGACUCGCGGCUUAUCAGCUUGUUGGUGGGGUAGUGGCUUACCAAGGCUUUGAAGGGUAGCCGGCCUGAGAGGGUGACCGGCAACAUGGGGACUGAGAUACGGCCCAGACUCCUAAGGGAGGCAGCAGUGGGGAAUAUUGCACAAUGGGCGGAAGCCGGAUGCAGCAACGCCGCGUGAGGGAUUACGGCCUUCGGGUUGUAAACCGCUUUCGCCUGUGACGAAGCGUGAGUGAAGGUAAUGGGUAAAGAAGCACCGGCUAACUACGUG
rnacentral:rRNA from 1 species